GAAAAUUCAUGAAAAAUAGGAAAUCAGUGAAAUAAAAUGUGGGAAAAAUAAAAAUCAGAUGAAAAAAAAUAAAAGAGAAUUUUAAAAAUUAUUUUGGAUAAAAAAUGAAAUUACUAUGAAUUUUUAAAGAAAAAACAAUUAAAAUUAAUAAAAGAAAAAUAAUAGAAAUCAGAAAAAACACGGAGCGUUGGAUCACGCCUCAUUAAUUG
rnacentral:lncRNA from 1 species